AGCGCCUAGGGGUCUCUGAGGACCACAAGCAGGUAGGACUCCAAUUUGACAUCUCCUGCUGGAGCUGGCAGCCCCAUGCCCCUCAUGCCAAGCUGAGAAACUGGGCCAAGGCCUGGCAGAAGUGCUUGCUGCAAAAUGAGCACUCAUGGGACUCCUCGCCUGCAAGGACAUACUGGUACAUGUUGAAGUUUGCUCUACUGAAUGCCCUUGCCCCAGUCCCUGCAGAGCAGUGCUGUCAUGGCACCUGUGGAGGAGGUGUCCCUGGGAUUGUGGCCCCACGGCACCGGCAGCAGCUCACCCGUGCCUGCAGGCAUGAAGCUGGCCCCAGCCCUGUCCCUGUGGAGGAAAAGCCAUGCCACUGCUGGCUGCUCACUCCAAGCCUUCCUGGACCUCAGGAAGCAAAGGGAAAUGUGUGUGAGAUGAAUCCCUCAUUUUACAGUACGCAGGCAAGUGUGUUUUUUUGCUUCAUUGAGUCCUGCCUUUUUCCUGGUCAUCCCUGGAGUGAUCCAAGAUCCACCCCUUCCUUACACUGCUUACCAGCCCCAAUUUCAGCCUGCACCAAUUGCACCUUUCUCCAACUAUGUUUGCCCUUACCUAGGACAGAUACCCGGCUGCUGGAGCAGGGUGGACAUGGUGCCUCCUUCCUCUCAUCAGGAAUAAUCCCAACAAUCACUGCUCUUGAAGCACUGCUGUAUUUAUAUGUUCAUAUAAGAGGUCAUCUAGAUCCCUGCAAAGGUCCCAUCACAUGAUGACUCCUGUUGACCAGGCUUCAGGGAUGAUCCUCACCAUCAGCCUUGCCAUCUUCUGUGCUUCUGUUCUUGAAGAUCAGGGCGCCAUCAACCUUGGUCUGCGUGGGUGGCCUUUAAACCCAAGCCCAUUUGUGGAAACCUCCUAUCUCAGGUGGGUAAGCUCACUUACAAACUGCAUAGCCUAUUGGAAAAGAAAAGGUUAAAGGCAUUUAAUAAGUACAGCUUGAAGCCCAAUUCUUUCUUUCUAAAGGUUAAACUUCUGAACUGCAGAUAAUUACCAUUUUUCUCUUCCCUUUUAUGGCAUCUUUUAUCUUAAGCUGUAGAGACAAUAUGUAGGUGCUUUAAAGUUUAAAAUAAAUGAGUGUCUUUCGGUAAGGUUGUGAGUUAA
rnacentral:lncRNA from 1 species